GAAAGCUUCUAAUCAUUUCUAUUCUCUUUAAUCUGGGGCAUUUGAAACGUAAGUAAGUGACUGGUGCGGCAGCCCUCCCUGUGCAGUUCAAAUGUGUGAGUCACAGCCUUGGAGAGCAGGAAGCCGGCAAGGAAUGUGGUGACGUGGUUUCAGGAUCCAUCUGGCAGAGGUCUGUGAUCAGCCUGUUGGAAAACCCACCUCUGGGCACGGUUGCACGAAUGGAGGUUCUGAGCAGGAGGUGGGCCUGAUCAAAGUUGUUUAAUCUGACUUUUAAGGACGGAAAUACUGGAACUCUGGAACCCUGUUGAGAUGCAAUUGCAGGAAUCUAAAUAAAAGGUUUUUAGGUGCACUGCACAGUUUGGAAACUGAGUUAUACGGUGGCCUAAGCCAUAGACAAGCACUGCCGAGGGAACUAACGAAGAUCCAAAGGGAGGAACUAGUCUUGUUUUUUAAAGCUAUUUAAUCCACAAAGUGAAAUAGAAGAUUGAGGUGGAAGACUGAGCCAAUUGCCCAGGAUCCAAGGCUAAGCGACCAACGGAAAACUUGAAGAACUGCGCUGCAGCCUAAAGUGUGGGUGCGCUAUUGGACAGAGGAGACUUUCAAUGCGGAUAAUGGAAUGUACCAGCCAGAAGAGUGCCAAGAAGAAAGAAAUUUAAGCACAAGAAAUACUCCCCAUGAAGACAGAGUCACUCAGGGAGAAUAUGAUGUGACAACAGAGGUGGAGAUUAGAGUGUCAAAUCUGCAAACUAAGGAAGACCAAGAAUUGAUUCACAGCACCAGAGGCCAGAGAGAUACAGAGUCACAAUGUGGCACAACCCUCCAAAUCCUUCAGUUCCUGACUUUAGAACAGCGAUGGACUGAAUUUGUCUUCAAUCCAUCUGGUAGAUCAUGGUUAGCCUAAGGAACCAAUGCAGAGAAGUCACCACAAGACUAAAAUCAGUGCUGUUCAAGAGGCUGUCACUGCAGUUGGUUAUAUCCCAAUAUUUAGUAAAUGCCACAAACUACUGUGUAGCAUGAGUGAAAGAAGAAGGUGACGUAGGCACUGACAAAGUUGGUGUUGUCAGGGCAGUUUGCUACUUGGGAGGCCCUCAAGUAUUGGAGUGUGAAUUGCAUUGUGAGCAGGAGGAAAUGAGGGAGCAUGGGACAAGAGAGAAUAUAAAGACAUAUUGUAGGUUGCUUCCCAGGCUCCUAUUACUUGUUGAGUAGAUAUUUGGGAGUUUAAUUGGAAUCUAAAUAAGAUUCUAAAAUCU
rnacentral:lncRNA from 1 species